UCCGCUCGCCCUUGCCCGGCCCGGCCCGUGCCCGCCGCCGCCGCCGCCGCCGCCGCCAUGUUGUGCGCCCGCCGCCUCCUGCGCCUCGCCGCGCUGCCGCCGCCCCGGGCCCGCUCCUACGCCGAGCCCGCGGCCGGGCCGGCCGCCAUGGCCUUCACCUUCGCCUCCCCCACGCAGGUGUUCUACAACGGCGCCGCCGUGAAGCAGGUGGACGUGCCCACCCUCACCGGCUCCUUCGGCAUCCUGGCGGCCCACGUCCCCACGCUGCAGGUCCUCAAGCCCGGCGUGGUGACGGUGUACGGCGAGGACGGGGCGGCCACCAAGUACUUCGUGAGCAGCGGCUCCGUCACGGUCAACGCGGACUCCACCGUGCAGGUGCUGGCAGAGGAGGCGGUGACGAUGGACAUGCUGGACCUGGCUGUGAGUACCGCGUCCCCGCAGCCAGGAGGUUUUGCUCCCCGCUUCUCUCCUGCGGGGCGCUCGUCUCGGGAGCUUCCUGUAGCUGCGGAGCGCGCAUACCAAGACCCGGGGCUGUGCCUUCACCCCCAGCUUCCCCGUCGGCGCCCACCGAUCGGGAUCAAAGGCUGCUCCUCCCCGGCAGGCUGCGGGGAGAGGAAGCCGUGCAGUCGCGAACCCUUCCCCAGGCCACAUCCCUGCCCUCGGACAGAUGCUGAUCUGGCCCCUCCCCACCCCUCUUCAUCUCGGGAACAGCUUUUCCACAGCAGGGCCUGGUGAUAAGGUGCCUGCUGCCAGCCCGGCACGUAAACAGGCUCCUGCAGCCCGCGUGGGGCCCCGUGCGUGGGGCUGAUGACUGCAGCGUGUGGGGGGUGAUGAAUUGAGGGCUGUGAGACAGCCACCCGCCCUGCGGUGGUCUCUCGGUGACACAUUCCUUGUGCUCUCGUGUUCAGACUGCAAAAUCAAACCUGGAGAAGGCCAUUUCAGAGGUGGCUGCCGCGUCUGAUGAAGCUGCUAAAGCAGAAGCUCAGAUUAAAGUAGAAGCCAACGAAGCCCUUGUAAAAGCCCUGGCGUAAUCUGUUGGAAGGCUUUCUGCGCGGCAGCGUGCGCGCUGUGCCUGGCAGGAAUCCCACUGUCGCUGCAGAAAAACCCCAGACUGUCCUACUUGUUCUGGCUUCCCCGUUUGUACAGAUGGUGCGGGACAAAUGGAGGCGGAGAAACCGCUCUGAUCAAUUAAAAGGAAAUGCAAUCCUG